rnacentral:rRNA from 1 species
GAUGAACGCUAGCGGCAGGCUUAAUACAUGCAAGUCGUGGGGCAGCAGGUCUGUAGCAGUACAGAUGCUGGCGACCGGCAAACGGGUGCGUAACACGUACGCAACCUUCCCGUUACUGGGGAAUAGCCCAGGGAAACUUGGAUUAAUACCCCAUAUUAUAUUGGUCAGGCAUCUGACUGAUAUCAAAGCUUCGGCGGUAACGGAUGGGCGUGCGGUUGAUUAGGUAGUUGGCGGGGUAACGGCCCACCAAGCCUACGAUCAAUAGCUGAUGUGAGAGCAUGAUCAGCCACACGGGCACUGAGACACGGGCCCGACUCCUACGGGAGGCAGCAGUAAGGAAUAUUGGGCAAUGGACGCAAGUCUGACCCAGCCAUGCCGCGUGAAGGAUGAAGGUCCUCUGGAUUGUAAACUUCUUUUAUCUGGGGCGAAAACCGGUUAUUCUUAGCCGUUUGACAGUACCAGAGGAAUAAGCACCGGCUAACUCCGUGCCAGCCGCCGCCGUAA